rnacentral:lncRNA from 1 species
CUGAGAGAAACAACGCACCUUCUUUGCACCUGCAAAGUGCAAACGCUGCAAUUUCUCUCCCUUCGGCUAUUCUUUGACCACACCAACUCAUUCCUCUCGUCCUCUCGAGCUGUAAUUUUCACUUCCAAAACGGUGCUGAAAUUGUGUUAUCUGCAGAAAAAAAGACUGAAUUUUGCAACAGCGAGAGCACUUCACUGGAAAUGUGCACCAAUUCUGAGCUUCCUUGUCACCAGUGAAAGUCUCCAGAUCUUCCAAAAGAAAACUGGCACGCUGGUUAAUUACGUCACCGCCGGGGAGAGGAUGAGGUCCUGUGCUCUGUCGUCUCUCCAGGUGAGGCUUCGAAGAGGACCCGACCUCCCCGUCGCUUCCCAACGGCGUCGUAGCCACCCCCUCCACCUUCUCGUCCUUGUUCUCAGUGGCUCGCCAAUACGCACACACUCGACGACUCCUUUGCCUGCUUCGCCUGUGAGCUGGCUUGGUCGCAGUGGCUGGGCUCUUGCGCUCCGCGACGCUUCCUGGGGACGACGUGUUUGGCGACAGGGAUGAGGAGGCGGGG